rnacentral:rRNA from 1 species
GGCUGGAUCUCUCGGGGUUACAGCCUUGCUGAAUUAUUCACCCUUGUCUUUUGCGUACUUCUUGUUUCCUUGGUGGGUUCGCCCACCACUAGGACAAACAUAAACCUUUUGUAAUUGCAAUCAGCGUCAGUAACAAAUUAAUAAUUACAACUUUCAACAACGGAUCUCUUGGUUCUGGCAUCGAUGAAGAACGCAGCGAAAUGCGAUAAGUAGUGUGAAUUGCAGAAUUCAGUGAAUCAUCGAAUCUUUGAACGCACAUUGCGCCCUUUGGUAUUCCAAAGGGCAUGCCUGUUCGAGCGUCAUUUGUACCCUCAAGCUUUGCUUGGUGUUGGGCGUCUUGUCUCUAGCUUUGCUGGAGACUCGCCUUAAAGUAAUUGGCAGCCGGCCUACUGGUUUCGGAGCGCAGCACAAGUCGCACUCUCUAUCAGCAAAGGUCUAGCAUCCAUUAAGCCUUUUUUCAACUUUUGACCUCGGAUCAGGUAGGGAUACCCGCUGAACUUAAGC